UUCACGCCAGACGUGCCUAGAUUGAAACGAGCUGAGCGGGAGCUGGUCCGUGAGUAAAAUGUAUCACACCCGCGCUGCCUCGCGCUUCCAAAAAAGAAAAACCCAGCGCAGGGGGGAGAAAGCGCCAGCAGCGGCUCUGCAGGCUGGGGCUGGAGGAUCCGGUAAUGAAGUCUUUCUGGAAGCUCCUCUAAAGCACCGAGGAAAGCUGACCUUCACCUUCUUUCCCUGACCCCCCCCUGAGCAUGGCUUCCUCAGAGGCCUUCCUAUCUCCGGCCAACAUGCUCCUUGAACAGCACCACCGCUUUCCUGCCUGCAGCCCAGGAUACAAGCUCCCUGGACCUAGAACAGUUCCUGAUACAGAGAGAAGUUCAACACAUAUUGUUGGACGAAUACAUCUAAUUCCAGCUCUCAAAGCCACCAUACUAGGCUGCUGCUGUCAACUCCUACCAAACUCACCAGACACCUCCAAGAUAGCGCAGUUACAGUGGCGUGGAAUAGAAUAAUCUGGGGCUGAAUCCUUCUCUACCUGUUUCUAAUUGUAUAACUGUGUAAGUUACUUAUCAUCUCUGAAUCUUUAUUCAAAGUGGGUAUAGUAAUCCUACUCUGUAAAGUUAUAGGAAUUAAAUGACAUAAUUUGUAUAAAAAACAGAACAGAGUGCUUCACCUACAGGGUGUGUCUAAUUGUUUCUUUUAUUCCUGAGUCUUACAUAAACUGUGAAUUUA
rnacentral:lncRNA from 1 species